rnacentral:rRNA from 1 species
AUUGAACGCUGGCGGCAUGCCUUACACAUGCAAGUCGAACGGCAGCACGGGUGCUUGCACCUGGUGGCGAGUGGCGAACGGGUGAGUAAUAUAUCGGAACGUACCUUAUAGUGGGGGAUAACGCAGCGAAAGUUGCGCUAAUACCGCAUACGCCCUUAGGGGGAAAGCGGGGGAUCGUAAGACCUCGCGCUAUUAGAGCGGCCGAUAUCUGAUUAGCUAGUUGGUGAGGUAAAGGCUCACCAAGGCGACGAUCAGUAGCUGGUCUGAGAGGACGAUCAGCCACACUGGGACUGAGACACGGCCCAGACUCCUACGGGAGGCAGCAGUGGGGAAUUUUGGACAAUGGGGGCAACCCUGAUCCAGCAAUGCCGCGUGCAGGACGAAGGCCUUCGGGUUGUAAACUGCUUUUGUACAGAACGAAAAGCCUUGGGUUAAUACCCUGAGGUCAUGACGGUACUGUAAGAAUAAGCACCGGCUAACUACGUG